rnacentral:rRNA from 1 species
UACGUAGGGUGCAAGCGUUUAUCCGGAAUUAUUGGGCGUAAAGAGCUCGUAGGCGGUUUGUCGCGUCUGCUGUGAAAACUGGGGGGCUCAACCCCCCAGCCUGCAGUGGGUACGGGCAGACUAGAGUGCGGUAGGGGAGAUUGGAAUUCCUGGUGUAGCGGUGGAAUGCGCAGAUAUCAGGAGGAACACCGAUGGCGAAGGCAGAUCUCUGGGCCGUAACUGACGCUGAGGAGCGAAAGCAUGGGGAGCGAACAGG